GGUCUGGCGGCGGCGCGGCAGUAAAACUGAGGAGGCGGAGCCAAGACGGUCGGGGCUGCUUGCUAACUCCAGGAACAGGUUUAAGUUUUUGAAACUGAAGUAGGCCUACACAGUAGGAACUCAUGUCAUUUCUUGUAAGUAAACCAGAGCGAAUCAGGGUGAGUGUUUUUCUAUUCUUCUGGCUUUACUAUUUUUGUUUUCUGAAAAGCAGUGUAUUUUGGCAGAUGUUGUAGGUGGUUUUCUACGUGAGGGUCGGAAUGAUACGGAAGUGAGGGAUGUAGGAAGUAAGGCAGGUAGUGCAGCCUCCACUCCUGAGAAGAGUUUGCAGACAGAGGCUGACCAGAGACACAAAAUUUACCACCAGCUUGUCUGAUAGAGAAGAAAUAAGAAGAAAGUGGCUUAUUUCAUGAAUAUCAGUCAUACAACAUUAAAUGAGUCGAUGAUACUUUUAAGUGUAGACGUUUAACUGCUUAUGACCCCCCGUGAGGUUGUGAGUUUUCAAAAUCAAGUUGUAAUUACUAGGACACUUUUUUCUAAGUAAUAUCAUUAGUUUUAAUUGAAGACAUUUUGAACAUGAAAG
rnacentral:lncRNA from 1 species